AUGCUGUAUGAAAGGAAAGAAGGUUAUCAUUCCCCUUGAAAAGGGUGGAAGAGGUCCUAGUGGCCUUUACAACACAUAUAAUGAACUUUU
ensembl:snRNA